AGGACGAACGCUGGCGGCGUGCUUAACACAUGCAAGUCGAGCGGAAAGGCCCUUCGGGGUACUCGAGCGGCGAACGGGUGAGUAACACGUGAGCAAUCUGCCCUUAGCUUCGGGAUAGCCCCGGGAAACCGGGAUUAAUACCGAAUACGACCUCGGCCGACAUCGGCUUUGGUGGAAAGUUUUUCGGCUAGGGAUGAACUCGCGGCCUAUCAGCUUGUUGGUGGGGUAAUGGCCUACCAAGGCGACGACGGGUAGCCGGCCUGAGAGGGCGACCGGCCACACUGGGACUGAGACACGGCCCAGACUCCUACGGGAGGCAGCAGUGGGGAAUAUUGCGCAAUGGGCGAAAGCCUGACGCAGCGACGCCGCGUGGGGGAUGAAGGCCUUCGGUUGUAAACCCCUUUCAGCAGGACGAAGCGAGAGUGACGGUACCUGCAGAAGAAGCGCCGGCUAACUCCGUGCCAGCAGCCGC
rnacentral:rRNA from 1 species